AGCGCACGGAGGCGCUGGGGGAAAACCUCCCCUUUUCACGUUCCUGUGGAGUGCAAGAGGCACAUUCACAGAGGGGCGGCGCGGUUCCACCUGGAUUCCCACCCGGAGUAUUCGUGACUCUCACGGAGCUCUCGUGGCACGGAGCACCUUUUCCUGCCAGUGGAGAUUUUCAGUUUUGGGAUUGGUGGGGCGUGUCCUCCUGGCUUGUGGCACGGAACUGGAUGCUGAUGUGAAACCACCCUCUUACCAGCACAGGUCACUGCAAUCACCUUCCUGGGCUGGGGGGUUUUGUUCCGAGUUACAGAUCGCUCACGGAGCUCCAGAGACGUGCCAAAGGAAAGCCCUGCUCCUGUCAAUGACUUGUGAAGAGCGAUUCCUCAUUUCUGAGAUCCCUGCCAGGAACGGGAGAUGUACCAAGAGUUUUUAAGUUCCUCAGGCAAUCAGAACAUGCCCCGAGCCCCUUCUGCAAUCGCAGGAUGUCCUCCCGAGGAUGAUGUGUCCCCACUCGCAGACUGAUCUCAGGAAGGACAGAUCAAUUCUGCAGUGAGUCCUGGUGCUCCUGUGAACAAUCAGCACUCCUGGUUCCCAGGGCUCUUCCUUUUCAGCAAGGCCUGAACACGUCAAGUCGCUCGUGCACGUUCCCUGCGGUAUUUGGCUGUCUCAAGACAGACAAGGGGAGCUUCAAAACUUUCUGGAUUGAUUCAGCAGGAGGUAACAAUACCCAUUCUAUCCCCAAAACACCCCUCUAAAGGCAGAGUCUGACUGCCCAUUUCUGAGGGACUCCAGAGCAGGGCUCGGUGCCCCGUGGCAUCCAUUCAACUCGAGGUCCCUGGAUGGACUCCAGGGCCACAGGGUGGGGUCACUGAACCAUGUGCUGUGCAGGGGCUGAGUCUGAACCACCCGAUGAUCUUGGACCCAGAAAAUCUCUUACUCUGCACAAAGCCCGUGACCUUUUCCUGUGCCUCUCAUCUGGCUGCACUCAGGAGAGGCUGGCACGUGGCUGAUCUUAUGGGUGCGUGCUGCCUGUCCUGGGAUCAGCCUUAAUGCGCUGUGAUUCCUUCUGCAGCGGUUGAAGCCCUGUUGGAGACCUCAGCCCUGGGCUUUGCUCGGCCACCGGAGGGGUUUCACAGAGGCCGCUUCCCUGCUGCUCUGUCUGGAGCUGCUCAGCAAGCGCGAGGCAGUGAUUACAGACAGGGCUGCUUGGCACCAGCCUGGGCACAGGGAGGUGGGGAGAGAUUCCAGAGACACCAUUCACCCCUCCUCAGAGCACAGUAAAACGCCUUCUUCAUUUCUCUUUUUAUUGCCUCUGUCUGCUCUCAUCUGGUGCCUGACCAUUUCAUCUGGUCACGCUGCUUUUUUCUUUGCAAUAAAAGGAGCAGACACGCUUUUGCCCUGUAUGUAAAAUGUUUUGCCACAUUUAGAGGUAAAUCACAGCCACUUUUCUGGGUUGUGUAUUUCCAGACUCAUGGGAGAUGGAAAUGCUUUGAUAGCAAGCGCUCUCUACAGAGUCCAGCCAUGGUGGGACAGGAAAAGUCUCCUCCUCCCACCUUACUUUUCUUUGCUCUGCUGUAAACCUUCCCUCUCUCCCCAUCUCUGGGAGUCAGCACCCAAAUCCCUUCGUGCACAGGGAAGGAAAAAAGGAGAGGAAGGUCUGGCUCCCAGUCCCUCCAGAGACAGAGUUUGAGUCGCGCACAUGCGGAAUUCAGUGAGCCGAGAUCUUCGCUUUCAUCAGAUGUGUCUCUUCAGAAACAGGCUGACACCCUGGGCACCAAAAGAGAUCACAGGAGCUACAGCACAAAGCAGGCUCUGCCACAGCUGCAGGCAGGAGUCUGUCAGGGAGAGUGAUGGAGCAAGAAGGGUGCUGAUCUAACAGACAAAGGGGGAAGGAAGGAAGAGUGAAAAGUGUAAGAAACUAGAAGAGACUUCAAGGGACACAGCGCUGUUUGAUGGGGCAGAAGCUGAGAGGCAAGUGAGCUGCUGUGCAGGGUGAUUGCAUUCUUCCAAGAUGAUUUGUAAAAGGGGAAAAGUUGUAGAUGAAACGCUUUGAUUGGCCUUUAUCUCACUCUGCCUGUGCACUUGUGUCAUUCAUUUCAGGUAAUAACCUCUACUAAACAGUCAGAGGCUGCAGCAUAAUUUUGUUGACCUGAAAUUAAGGCAAAAAGCUGCAGUUCUGGAAUUUGGAGCUGGAAUAGUGCCUAGUUGGCUGAAGGGCAAAAUAAAGAAGUAAAGAUCAAUGCCAGCUUUUCGUGUCAUGUGAAAAAUCAAGGCUCAUGCAUCAGGAACUUCAAAACAAUCAGAUUCAUGUAAAUUUAGCCUAUGUCUCAAUCCUAAAAUUGCAUUAAAAUUAAACUCCCUGUUUCUAAUUGUCAUUCAGUGGAGCUUAGAUGAACCUCAGAUUUUAGGUGUUCCCACAAUGGGAGCUAUGGGUAAUGAUUACACUGCAACGUGAAGUGCCAAAAAUGGGAAAUGGUGGCAGUUUUGGGGGCUCUUUCUGCUUUCUUUCCUUUUUAUUCCUGUCUAUCCAACAUGGCAGCAAUGCCAUGGCAGAAAUCUAACUGAGUAGCAGGAAGGCAACCUCCAUUAAGUUGGCAAGUGAUGGAAAAAAAAAAAAAGUGAAUCUUUCAGGCUUUGAAGGAGCCGAUACCAGGAGAAAAACUGCCUGCAAUACAAAGCCAAAAGUUAUCAACUAUCCCGAGAGAUGUUUUCACAAAUCAACAAAGAACACAAGCCAGGAAUAAAAAGAGCAUUGCUCUGGUCUGUGUCCCUAAGAUGGGAAACUGAAAAGCCGCGAGCGUAGAGCAGGUAGGAGCUGGUUGUCAGAGGAAUGUCAGCUUCCAGCAGAACAGGAAUAACUCAGAAGUCUGGGGAUGAGUCUCUGCUGCAACUGCAGCAGAAAUGGGGCUUCUCCAGAUCUGCCUAAGACCCAGAACUGACACGAGAUGAGGCUCAACUUGAAUAAUUGUCUUAGUUCCUUCUUUUGUCCUUUCACCCCAAAUAUGUUUAGCUUGUAUUUUGCUUCAGCAUGCUUCUAUAAAUCCUCAGAGGAUCCAUCUUGGAAGCACUUCCAGGAUGGAAAUGCUCUGACCUUUAGAUGCUGACAGGUGAGGUGCAUAUCCUCGCGUUCUGUAUUAUUGACAGUAACGGCAGUGCUUCCUCUUUUUUUUUUGUGAACAGUGUCAUUUUUAGGUGUUUGUCUGACUUCAGGAUAUAGUUCCCCUCCUGUAAAACAGAACAUCUAUGCCAGUGCUUUCAUUCCAGGGAUCUGGAUGCGGUACCACAUAUUGAUGAGCACGUGACACAUUUACCCCAGUGUCUGCAGUGGCACCCAUCCAAACGGAGAGCUGCCCAGUCCCCUGCAGCAUGAGGCCGGGAAUGCACCCACCGAGGCAGGAGCCCACGCAUGGCAGUACUGCUCAGGCAGCUCCCGUCUCCUGGCUCAGGGGUGAUUCCUUUUCCAGAGCAGCUCUGUGCCGGACCUGGCUUCUGCAGAUGGUGUGGCCGGUGCCACCUGAUGCGUGGCAGCUUUCCAGGGGGAGUCUCCUGUGAUGAGGGCUGCACAGCACUGCCACUCAUCCCACUCAGCACUUGGACAAAAUGUGGGACUGAACUGCAGAGGUAGGAACCAGUCCUUCGUUAUUUCAUUGUCUGAAACUUCUUCCUUGGAGCGUGUUCAGGGAAGGAUGGGAGACAGACCUUUUCACCUUUCUGGUUUUGUCUCUUUCCAUGGUGCAUCAUAUCCAUCCCUUCCACAGCUGAACCGGUGGGUCUGGACUUUCUGAGAGGAAUUCAACAGAGCUCUUUUUCAAUAUUUUGUCCCCCUUUUGGAGCUAUCCAUCUGAAAACAUUUCUGUAAAAUUUCCUUUGAGUUCCUGAUGCUGCUCAGGCACAUCAGACUGGCACAAAAGCCCCUCAGUAACGUCCCCAGCCCCGGCGGCGUGGCUGAGCUCUCUGAACUCCAGCCCUGCACUGUCACACCACAGUUACAUUGCAGUAACAGAUGGAAUUGUGGCAGGCUCUAGGCCACUGGCUCUGAAUCCUCCUGCUCAGGGCUGACCGUGGCAUUUGUCUGUAUUUCCUGUCCCUGGGGCUGAUCACUCCGUGCUUCCUAAGGGACCAAGAGCUCGUUCUCCACAGCUCCUUGGAGCAGAGGCUGCUCGCCCACGCUGAGAGAGAUGGGUGAGUGAGACUGUGUUAUGUCUCCAGGAGCAGGAACACUGCUGGAUGGACAUUUCUGUUCCAGCACACUUCCAUACGGAGAGAAAUAAAGAGGAAAAAAGGAAAAGGAGGGAAGAGCCAGAAGGCAGCACUGAAAUGCCAGUGUGGCCACCAAAGAGGUAAGGGAAUGAAACCCCGAGAGGGAGCAGAGGAAGGUCGCUGCUGCCAGGGACAGCAACACCAGAUGGCCGCAAGCACAAAUCAGGAAUUCUGCAGACGGGAGUGUUGCUCUCAGCCUUUGUGUUGUGUAGCACAGUUUGCAUCGCAGUUUAUCCUCACGGCCACUGGAAGGUUGGUCGGGGGCCAGACUGCCCUAAAGGGAGAACAUUUUAAUGUGCACAUGCAGGGGCUGUUCAGAGGUACUGCCGGCAUUAAAGCUGCUCCGAUCAGUUCCCUGUGCUGGGAUGACAGCAGCCAUCAAAGAACCACCUGAGGAUCCCUUCCACCCGAGAUGCAAAUGCCCUCUCCCUCUCCUUUUGCAAUCCUAAAGCUGCCACGUACAUUCCCUGCAAGGGGCUUGGGCACUGCUUACACUUGGAUUUCACUGCAUUUCCGUGCUGGGACGAAACUUCCGGUGGCCAGGUGAGAACAUUUUGGCUUUAAAUAAGAAGAGACAUUUCCCAGUGACUGUGAGGAGCUGCUGCAGACACAGAGCAGACCCUGACUGCACGUGUGGGCCCUGGCCAGAAUACAGGAGCUGGGCUUAGCGGUGCUUGCCAGGGAACGUGCCCAGAUUCACACCUGAGACACGAGGGCGUUCCCAGCCCUUCCGCCUCCCUGCAGAAAAGCUGGUGCUGCACAAAGAGCACUCGGGAAAACUGCUGUUCCUGUUCGUGCUGGUUCUACAGAACUGAACCUCCAGCAUUCCACAUUCUGUUUAAC